UACAGGGGGUGCAAACGUUGCUCGGAAUCAUUGGGCGUAAAGCGCACGUAGGCGGUUCGUUAUGUCGGAUGUGAAAGCCCUUGGCUUAACCGAGGAAGUGCAUCCGAAACUGGCGAGCUAGAGUACGAAAGAGGAUCGCGGAAUUCCCGGUGUAGAGGUGAAAUUCGUAGAUAUCGGGAGGAACACCGGUGGCGAAGGCGGCGAUCUGGGUCGAUACUGACGCUGAGGCGCGACAGCGUGGGGAGCAAACAGG
rnacentral:rRNA from 1 species